ensembl:lncRNA
GUCACCUACUUCACAGAGUCAUUCUGAGCCUUGAAUAAAUUAAUGUUUAUAAAAUGGUCAGAACACCCCAUGAUAAAUGAAUUUAAGUGUUUGCCCAAUGGAUAAAAUAAACACUUAAGAAUGCUGUUCAACAGUACUUUCACUAACUUUUACUUCCAAUUUUAUUCUUCAGCCCAGGAACAGUCGUUGAACCAUGAGAGUGAUGAUAAUAUGAUCAGGUUAGGACUGUGUAUUAUACACAAUUCCGUAAUCACAAACAUGAAGUUUCAUAUCUAGUUUAUGCCCUUCUCUACCUGGUCUUAAAAGUUUAUUUAUUUAUUUGUGGCUGAAUCAGUUCUUAGUUGCAGCAUGUGGAAUCUUUUAUUUUUAACACCAAAAACAUUUUGUACUGGGGUAUAGCCAGUUAACAAUGUUGUGAUAGUUUUAGAUGAACAAUGAAGGGACUCAGCCAUAUACAUGUAUCCAUUCUGCCCCAAACCCCCUUCCCAUCCAGGCUACCACAUAACACUAAGCAGAGUUCCAUGUGCUGUACAAUAGGUUUUUGUUGGUUAUCCGUUUUAAAUAUAGCAGUGUAUGCAUGAUGUUCCCUAUAUCCUUAACUAUCCCUCUCCCCUCCACCGGCAACCAUGAGUUCCUAUUCUGUGAGUCUCUUUCGGUUUUGUAAGUAAGUCCAUCUGUAUCAUUUUUUUAGAUUUAUCAUAUAAGGGAUGUCAUGUGAUAUUUCUCCUUCUUUGUCUGACUUACUUCACUCAGUAUGGCACUCUCUAGGUCCAUCCACAUUGCUACAAAUGGCCGUGUUUCAUUCUUUUAAUGGCCGAGUAAUAUUCCAUUGUAUGUAUGUACCACGUCUUCUUUACCCCUUCCUCUGUUGAUGAGCAUUUAGUUUGUUUCCAUGUUUUGUAAACAGUGCUGCAGUGAACACUGGGGUGCAUUAAUCUUUUCAGGCAGCAUGCGGAGUCUUUAUUGCAGCAUGCAGGCUUCUCUCUGAUUGUGUUGAGGGUUCCAGAGCAUGCAGGCUCUGUGGUUGUGGCACACAGGCUCUCUAGUUGCAGCACGAGGGCUCAAUAGUUGCAGUGCACAGGCUUAAUUGCCCCACAGCCUGUGGGAUCCUAGUUCCCCCACCAGGGAUCGAACCUGUGUCUCCAGCAUUGGAAGGCAGACUCUCAACCACUAGACCAUCAGGGAAGUCCCUCUGCCAGUUUUGUUGUUUUUUUUUUUAAACUCAAGAGAGUCGCUUAAGGUACUUGAACAAUGGGGACAGGAUGACAGUAACUGCUGAUAUUUUUCUCUGACCACUUGCUAUGUGCUAGGCAUUGUAGAAGUGUUUAAUCUGAAUUAUGAUUUUUAGGGCCUGGAAAAGGCCUAGGAGGUGGGUAUGAAUUGAGGAAACUAAAGCUCACAUCAGUUGUGACUUAUCCAAGAUUGCACAGUAGGAGUUGGAGUAGGGGUUUGAAAUCAGAAUUGCUGUAUCUGGUGUUCUUUGUAAUUACAUGUAUUUGCUCUUUUUGUCCACGUGCAACUCUGUUCCCCAAGAUUAGGGGGUUAACAGACUGUCGCUUGUUCAUACACUCAACUUGGAACAGAGCUAGCCCACAGGAGCUGUUUGCUGGCCAUGGGGGUGAUUAUGGAUUGCUUUCCUCCAUGGAACUUUUACCGUGGUGUCAUAAACCCAGAGUCCUAAAAUUGCAGACACUGUCAAUAUUCCUACAUCCCAGCACCAGUUGAGUGCAUUUAGAUAUAGUUUCCUCAGCCUCCCCAUCUUGGUGUAGAGCUUGGGGAAGAGACAGGUUCAGUUAAGGUUCCAGAACUACAACUUUGUAAAGUUUAAAUAACUUGGUCAAAUUAUUUAACCCCUAACUUUUAAAUUCUACAUAUUAAAAUUGGGGUAAUAACUGUUGUCGAUAUUAAAGAGAAAAUGUUGGGAAAAUAUUCAGCACAGAAGCUGGCACACAGAGGCAUUCAAUAUGUGUUAAUUAGUAUAAUAUUAGUGCUAGUUAGAUUUUCUCAAAUGCUUGUAGUGUGGAGCUAGCCAAACGUUAUGUUGUCCUUUUUUUCUGUGUUUUCUUCAAAUCUGUGUGUGUUGUUGAUCCAGUCAUGUCUGACUCUUUGAAACUGUAUGGACUGUAGCCCACCAGGCUUCUCUGUCCCUGGGAUUCUCCAGUGUUCUAGCCUGGAGAAUCCCAUGUACAGAGGAGUCUGGCGGACUACAGUCCAUAGGCUCACAAAGAAUCGGACAUGACUGAAGUACCAGUUUUAAACAUCUGUAUUUCUGAACUCUCUUUUCCCAGACAGACCAUAAAGUCCUCAUGGGCAGAGGCUAC